UAGGGAAUCUUCGGCAAUGGGGGGAACCCUGACCGAGCAACGCCGCGUGAGUGAAGAAGGUUUUCGGAUCGUAAAGCUCUGUUGUUAAGGAAGAACGAGUGUGAGAAUGGAAAGUUCAUGCUGUGACGGUACUUAACCAGAAAGGGACGGCUAACUACGUGCCAGCAGCCGCGGUAAUACGUAGGUCCCGAGCGUUGUCCGGAUUUAUUGGGCGUAAAGCGAGCGCAGGCGGUUAGAAAAGUCUGAAGUGAAAGGCAGUGGCUCAACCAUUGUAGGCUUUGGAAACUGUUUAACUUGAGUGCAGAAGGGGAGAGUGGAAUUCCAUGUGUAGCGGUGAAAUGCGUAGAUAUAUGGGGGAACACCGGUGGCGAGAGCGGCUCUCUGGUCUGUAACUGACGCUGAGGCUCGAAAGCGUGGGGAGCGAACAGG
rnacentral:rRNA from 1 species